rnacentral:rRNA from 1 species
GACAGAGGUUGCAAACGUUGUUCGGAAUUACUGGGCAUAAAGCGCACGUAGGCGGUCCACUAAGUCAGGUGUGAAAUCCCCCGGCUCAACCGGGGAAUUGCGCCUGAUACUGGCGGGCUCGAGAUCGAUAGGGGUGAGCGGAACUCCAGGUGGAGCGGUGAAAUGCGUAGAUAUCUGGAGGAACACCGGUGGCGAAAGCGGCUCACUGGAUCGACACUGACGCUGAGGUGCGAAAGCUAGGGUAGCAAACGGG